UACGUAGGGGGCAAGCGUUGUCCGGAAUCAUUGGGCGUAAAGAGCGUGUAGGCGGCCUGGUAAGUCCGCUGUGAAAGUCCAGGGCUCAACCCUGGAAUGCCGGUGGAAACUGUCAGGCUCGAGUCCGGAAGAGGCGAGUGGAAUUCCUGGUGUAGCGGUGAAAUGCGCAGAUAUCAGGAGGAACACCAAUAGCGAAGGCAGCUCGCUGGGACGGUACUGACGCUGAGACGCGAAAGCGUGGGGAGCAAACAGG
rnacentral:rRNA from 1 species